GACGAACGCUGGCGGCGUGCUUAACACAUGCAAGUCGAACGGUGAAGCGCCUUCCUUUUUGGUGGGUGUGGAUGAGUGGCGAACGGGUGAGUAACACGUGAGUAACCUGCCCCCUUCUUCUGGAUAACCGCAUGAAAGUGUGGCUAAUACGGGAUAUUCUGGGUCUGUCGCAUGAUGGGUCUGGGAAAGAUAUUGUUUCGGUGGGGGAUGGGCUCGCGGCCUAUCAGCUUGUUGGUGGGGUGAUGGCCUACCAAGGCGGUGACGGGUAGCCGGCCUGAGAGGGUGGACGGUCACACUGGGACUGAGACACGGCCCAGACUCCUACGGGAGGCAGCAGUGGGGAAUAUUGCACAAUAGGCGCAAGCCUGAUGCAGCGACGCCGCGUGAGGGAUGGAGGCCUUCGGGUUGUGAACCUCUUUCGCCAGUGAAGCAGGCCUGCCUCGUUUGUGGGUGGGUUGACGGUAGCUGGAGAAGAAGCGCCGGCUAACUACGUG
rnacentral:rRNA from 1 species